GGGGAGGCCUAUGCAUGCAGUCGAGCGAGCUUGCCUAGAUGAUUUUAGUGCUUGCACUAAAUGAAACUAGAUACAAGCCUCCCGACAGAGGGGUGAGUAACACGUGGGUAACCUGCCCAAGACACCGACAGAACACCUGGAAACAGAUGCUAAUACCGGAUAACAACACUAGACGCAUGUCUAGAGUUUGAAAGAUGGUUCUCGCUAUCACUCUUGGAUGGACCUGCGGUGCAUUAGCUAGUUGGUAAGGUAACGGCUUACCAAGGCAAUGAUGCAUAGCCGAGUUGAGAGACUGAUCGGCCACAUUGGGACUGAGACACGGCCCAAACUCCUACGGGAGGCAGCAGUAGGGAAUCUUCCACAAUGGACGAAAGUCUGAUGGAGCAACGCCGCGUGAGUGAAGAAGGGUUUCGGCUCGUAAAGCUCUGUUGGUAGUGAAGAAAGAUAGAGGUAGUAACUGGCCUUUAUUUGACGGUAAUUACUUAGAAAGUCACGGCUAACUACGUGCCAGCAGCCGCGGUAAUACGUAGGUGGCAAGCGUUGUCCGGAUUUAUUGGGCGUAAAGCGAGUGCAGGCGGUUCAAUAAGUCUGAUGUGAAAGCCUUCGGCUCAACCGGAGAAUUGCAUCAGAAACUGUUGAACUUGAGUGCAGAAGAGGAGAGUGGAACUCCAUGUGUAGCGGUGGAAUGCGUAGAUAUAUGGAAGAACACCAGUGGCGAAGGCGGCUCUCUGGUCUGCAACUGACGCUGAG
rnacentral:rRNA from 1 species